rnacentral:misc_RNA from 1 species
ACUUAUAUUAAUCGUCUUUUAUUCUAUUUAUGUUGUCUUGAUUUAACCAGUAGAUUAGAGGUAGAACAAUUAAGAACUGCAUUAAUACAAAACGGUAAUAAUUUGUGUGAACAACAUCUAGAGCCUCAUAAUGAAUUCUGUGAUUGUAGAGAGCAUGAAAGACUAUUAGUAUUAUUUAGAGUAAUAAUUGGUGUGUUAGAUAUCUGGUUAAGAAAUAAUAAUUUUUAAU